rnacentral:lncRNA from 1 species
CAAGAAUGGUUCAGACAUUCAGGAGUCAGGAACUGACUUGUGAUGCUUCUUUCCCUAGACUUCUCCUUUGAAACCUGGCAUUAACUAGUGUUCUCAUUGCUGCUGUGAGUGCUGCAAAUGACUUGGUGAUGUGUUCAGUGACUGGAACAGUUGGUGCUGAGCCCAUGGGCCGGGAAAGACCUGGACUCCUUGGGCCUUUACCCUGUCAGCCGCUUGCUGUCAUACAUCUUGGCCCCUUUCUGGUUUCACUGCUUGUGCUCAUGCCAUACUUUCCUCCUGGGUUGUUCUUCCUUUUCUCUUGGACCUGUCAAACCCCCCUUGAAGGGGGUGUUCAUGUACCACCUCCCUGUGAAGCAUUCCUGGCCACCUCUCCUGGGACUGAUGCUUCGCAGAGUAGUCCUGUGUUGCAGGAUCUGUGCAACCUGCUUUCCUGCCCUGCUGACAUCAGCUCUGUGUGUGUUGGGAGGAGGAGCUCUGCAGCCAGAUGAUUGGACACGAUCCUGGGCCGCCUGUCACAGUGGACUCAGCUUCCCGGGUUGUCCUUGGGCCAGGCACAGGUUCCUGCUCCCUGCCAGCAGAGAUUUUCUGCCCGCCCAGACCUUCUCCAAGGCCAGUCUCCACACUUUCUGGGAAGUCGUUUCAGAGAGAACCCUACCAGGUCAGCUUGGCGAAGAUCCUCCCCCUGGUACCUAUCACCCUGCUGUCUGAUCAGGUCCCCAUCAUUUACCACCCCUAGAGAAUGUCAGGAAGCCCACGGGGCCAGUUGUGCUGGAAUCCGCUGGGCCCCAGCCUGUUCCCUGCCUGUCCUUGCCUCUGCCAUGCUGUCUUUGGAGCUGAAUCCAUGCUCCCAUUGCAGAGCCCUGUAUCACGGCCCCACACCUCUCACAACAGCCUGCUUAGCCUCCUUUAGCAUACUUUCACCAGGGGCCCUGGGUACAUCUUGCUUCAUCUCCUCUUGCCUGAGCUGGGCUCCAGAGGCUGAGUGGAAAGGGAGACAGGAACAACAGUUGUACCUCUGAGAGCAGGACCUCAGCCUCAGCAGAGGAGCUGGCCGUUAAGUACCUCCCUGCACCCUGCUCCCUGCUCC